rnacentral:snRNA from 1 species
AGCUGCGCCGUGGGCACAAAGCGAACUAUUCUUUCGCCUUUUACUAAAGAAUACCGUGUGCCCGCUGCAAAAAGCAGCAUACGCUAAUUUUUUUUGAGGGUUCUUCUUUUUUAGAGAGGAA